UACAGAGGGUGCGAGCGUUAAUCGGAAUAACUGGGCGUAAAGGGCGCGUAGGUGGUUAAAUAAGAUCAAUGUGAAAUCCCUGGGCUUAACCUAGGAACUGCGUUGAUGACUGUGUAGCUAGAGUACUGUAGAGGGUAGUAGAAUUUCCGGUGUAGCAGUGAAAUGCGUAGAGAUCGGAAGGAAUACCAGUGGCGAAGGCGGCUACCUGGACAGAUACUGACACUGAGGCGCGAAAGCGUGGGGAGCAAACAGG
rnacentral:rRNA from 1 species